rnacentral:lncRNA from 1 species
GAGAUAAAACGAAUAUAUUUUAAGAUUUCUUCUAUCACUAUGCUUACAUUAGGCGCACAGAUAAGGGCAACCUUUCUUAAACAUCCAGCAAUAAUUAAAGAAAAAAAAAAACCCAACUCUAGGUAUAAAAUUGUGAAAUUUCCUGGGUUAGUCAACAUGUUGGAAGGAUAAUGAGUACCUGAAGGAAAGAAGAAGUUGGCAUGACAUUGUUGUUGAGGAAAAUGUGGAGAUUUAUGGGUAUUUUACAGGGGGUUUUGAGUGUGGAAGGAUAAUGAGUACCUGAAGGAAAGAAGAAGUUGGCAUGACAUUGUUGUUGAGGAAAAUGUGGAGAUUUAUGGGUAUUUUACAGGGGGUUUUGAGUGUGGAAGGAUAAUGCGUACCUGAAGGAAAGAAGAAGAUGGCAUGACAUUGUUGUUGAGGAAAAUGUGGAGAUUUAUGGGUAUUUUACAGGGGGUUUUGAGUGUGGAAGGAUAAUGAGUACCUGAAGGAAAGAAGAAGUUGGCAUGAGAUGUUGUUGAGGAAAAUGUGGAGAUUUGUGGUAUUUUGCUUGAACGGAAUCAAAGAUCAUUGUGGUGCAAG